rnacentral:lncRNA from 1 species
CUAAGGCAGCAGAUAACUUUAAAAGGCCGUAGACUUUAGCUGGAAAUGGUGCAGUUGGCAGGUACAUGUUGUACCUUAUAGCUGUUUUCAGCCCUGCCCGAGGUCUGCCUGGCAUUAGUUUCAAAUUCCAGCCAUGUCAUUAUGGUGGGGGAUCUGAUAUGCAAGAACAAUGUUUAAAAAGGCACUUUCCUUUUAUUUUUUAAAUUGACUUAGAGAUGCAGGUAUUUAAGUCUGAUUGGCAAGAUGUAGAGUCCUAUGCAGAGGAGAUCAGACUUUGUUUUUGAGAGCUGUUUUUUCAAAAGAACGAGACAUUUACUUGAAGUUAAAAUCUUUUGGAAUAAUGAGUUGGUUUGGAUGUUGGGGCUUUUAAAUUUUUUUUAAAGAAAACUCAGUUAUGCCAGCUACAAACAUUACAAUUGAUUUGUUGGGGAUGGGGGUGGAGAUGGGUGGGCAUUUGAGUCCUAUUUUUCAUUUGCUUUUGGGACUGGCUUAAUGGCUGAGUGUGCUGAAGGUGUUACUUGAAGCAUAUCAAGAAAAUUAAUCUAGGCCAGAGGGAGCUAUUCUUCAUCUGGUUCUUCUGGUCAGGCACUUCUCAAAUGCCUUUCCUCACCUGGCAGAGUGAAGACUAAGCUUGGAUCAUGGCCCUACUGUUAAAAUCACAGUCAUCCAAUGCAUGGCUGUUGGGACAUUUUGUUGGGCUUUUUGUUGUUGUUAUUGGGGGGUUUUUGUUUGUUUGUUGGGGUUUUCCCUAAUUUUUUCUGUUUUUUGGUUAGUUUUGUUUUUAAUUUUUCUUGUUUGUUUCAUUUUUUUUUUUUUUGUGGUGGUUUUUUUUGGGGUUUUUUUUUCUUUUUUUUUUUUUGGAGAGAGAAAUCAUUUUGGUUUGGGUUUUUAUGUGGCUCAUUCUUGUUGCAGUGGAGGGGUUUGUGCCCGCAGAACAGCACUGACAGAUUGGUACCUGCAAUCAUUUGAUGACCUUUUGCUUCCCUUUUGGCAUGUGUACACUUGCAGAAAAUUUGGUUUGAAAUAAAAUGCAUCUCACUGCUAAGCAUUUGAGUUAUUUAGUAAACAAUUUUACACAUGUUCUUAAAGGCAAGCCUGAACAAUACAGUGCAAAACAGGGCCUUAUUUGUUUCUUAUUAAAACAUAUUAAGCUGAGCUCUAUUCUGGGCUUUACUACUUUUCCAUUUUACUUGAUUAUAAAAUCUUUGGAAGGAAUCAUGCCACAUAAUGCGCUGUUCUGGUUUUCCAUUUGGACAGGUUGCACAGACAGUGUUCCUCUUUUGAAGGGAUCAGGAUUUUUGAUGCUCUAGCUCACACAGUGCAUCAGAGGAGAGCAGGCAUCUUCUUCAACAGGUCAGCAAGGGAAUCUGGACAAGCCUGUGCUUUGCUGUUGAUUUUACUGUUCCUGGGGUUCAGAGUCCUUCUGUGCAUCCUCUAAAAAUGAGACAUGCAAAUGUACUGGCCCAGUCUGGUCAUUUAUCUUGUGGAGUUUCCCAGCUCAGUCAUCAAAGUGUUUUUGUACUGAAAAACCCCCACACUUUCCACAGUCAUGCCUGGGAACUAAAAUCUGUAAGCAUUCAGCGUCAAAGGUUUUAUGAUACAAUUGAGUUUCCUACCUUUCUUACAGUACCUUCAUAUUCCAAUAGCGAUAAGUAAUUCCUUCUGCCCAGUCCUGUGAAGAGUAUCACCUUUUUCUCUUAAUUUCAUGUUGACAAUAUCCCCCACAAAUACUAAUUACUGUUUCUUAAAUAGAUGGCCACACUGAGUACAUGUUCAAUUAAAUGUCAGACGUUUUUACUUUUAGUUUGCAUUUAGUUAUGCCCCAGAGAUGAACAUGACUCCAAGUGCUGCUGGCCAAGGGUACAUGAUACAGUGACCUUUAUCCAAUUGCUCUUCUGCUUAUCACAUGGCUGUUUGUGAUGCAUGCCUAGCAUAGACACGGAGUGAGGAAAAGAACUGUAACCAUAGCAAAAAAAAGAAAAAAA